ensembl:snoRNA
UUGCCCACCUUGAGCUAAUUGUGCUUCACGUGGCCAGAACAGAGGGGUAAAGCAGUCAUCUCUCUAAAACCCGGGGCAGAUAAACUACCCUCUGUUCCGGAUCCUGUCGUGAGAGACAUUC